rnacentral:lncRNA from 1 species
UAAAAAAGAUAUAAAACAGUCCAAUGAUUUUUUCUGCUUCAUUUUAUUUUUAUUCUUAUUAAAACAGGUCUUUUUUUAAUUAAAUAUUUUUUUAGAAUCUCAAGAUUCUUAAGAAUUUCUGAAAGGGAAUCUUGAGAAAUAAAUUAAUUACUAAUUCAAGAAUUCCUGAGUCUUGAGAGAGCAAAAAGUUUGGGAAACCCAAUUACUAUUGCUAUAUGGUUACAUACAUCAUGACUUUUUUGUACAAAGUUAGUUACCUAAGCAUGACCUUACACACAGAUGCAAAUUAUAACAGCUUGCUUUUGUCAUUGUUCUUACCACAAGUCACUAAAAUGCAACCAUCUUGCCCUUGUUUUAUUUUUUAUUUUAGCAUUUUUCAAAGUUUUAUAACAAAUCCUUAUCCUGUCAUAAUGUUUAAGUGCUGUUUAUUUUUGUGCUAUUCUGGAGUGAAUAUAUAAGCAUAAAAUUUUGAAUAUAUAGCUUUGUUUAUAUUAACU